UCCGGUUGAUCCUGGCGGAGGCCAUUGCUAUCGGAGUCCGAUUUAGCCAUGCUAGUCGUACGGGUUCACACCCGUGGCGUAUAGCUCAGUAACACGUGGCCAAACUACCCUACAGACCGCCAUACCCUCGGGAAACUGAGGUUAAUAGCGGAUACGGUUCUCACGCUGGAGUGCGGAGGACCGGAAACGUUCCGGCGCUGUAGGAUGUGGCUGCGGCCGAUUAGGUAGAUGGCGGGGUAACGGCCCACCAUGCCGAUAAUCGGUACAGGUUGUGAGAGCAAGAGCCUGGAGACGGAAUCUGAGACAAGAUUCCGGGCCCUACGGGGCGCAGCAGGCGCGAAACCUUUACACUGCACGCCAGUGCGAUAGGGGGACUCCGAGUGCGAGGGCAUAUCGUCCUCGCUUCUCUGUACCGUAAGGUGGUACAGGAAUAAGGACUGGGCAAGACCGGUGCCAGCCGCCGCGGUAAUACCGGCAGUCCAAGUGAUGGCCGAUAUUAUUGGGCCUAAAGCGUCCGUAGCCCGCCGUGUAAGUCCAUUGGGAAAUCGGCCAGCUCAACUGGCCGGCGCCCGGUGGAAACUACGCGGCUUGGGGCCGAGAGACUCGACGGGUACGUCCGGGGUAGGAGUGAAAUCCUAUAAUCCUGGACGGACCACCGAUGGCGAAAGCACGUCGAGAGAUCGGACCCGACGGUGAGGGACGAAAGCCAGGGUCUCGAACCGGAUUAAAUACCCGGGUAGUCCUGGCCGUAAACGAUGCUCGUUAGGUAUGUCCCGCGCCAUGAGCGCGUGAUAUGCCNAANUGAAAACNAUAANCGAGCCNCCUGGG
rnacentral:rRNA from 1 species